rnacentral:rRNA from 1 species
CGCGGCCUAUCAGCUUGUUGGUGAGGUAACGGCUCACCAAGGCAACGACGGGUAGCUGGUCUGAGAGGACGAUCAGCCACACUGGGACUGAGACACGGCCCAGACUCCUACGGGAGGCAGCAGUGGGGAAUCUUGCGCAAUGGGCGAAAGCCUGACGCAGCAACGCCGCGUGGGGGAUGAAGGCUUUCGGGUUGUAAACCCCUUUCAGGAGGGACGAAAAUGACGGUACCUCCAGAAGAAGCCCCGACCAACUACGUGCCAGCAGCCGCGGUAACACGUAGGGGGCGAGCGUUGUCCGGAUUUAUUGGGCGUAAAGAGCUCGUAGGCGGCUUGGUUAGUCGGGUGUGAAAACUUCAGGCUCAACUUGGAGAGGCCACUCGAUACAGCCAUGGCUAGAGUCCGGUAGGGGAGCGCGGAAUUCCUGGUGUAGCGGUGAAAUGCGCAGAUAUCAGGAGGAACACCGUCGGCGAAGGCAGCGCUCUGGGCCGGUACUGACGCUGAGGAGCGAAAGUAUGGGUAGCAAACAGGAUUAGAUACCCUGGUAGUCCAUGCCGUAAACGUUGGGCACUAGGUGGGGGGAGGAAUCAACCCUCUCCGUGCCGUAGCUAACGCAUUAAGUGCCCCGCCUGGGGAGUACGG